UACGUAGGGGGCUAGCGUUGUCCGGAAUCAUUGGGCGUAAAGAGCGUGUAGGCGGCCCGGUAAGUCCGCUGUGAAAGUCGGGGGCUCAACCCUCGAAUGCCGGUGGAUACUGUCGGGCUAGAGUGCGGAAGAGGCGAGUGGAAUUCCUGGUGUAGCGGUGAAAUGCGCAGAUAUCAGGAGGAACACCGGUGGCGAAGGCGGAUCUCUGGGCCAUUACUGACGCUGAGAAGCGAAAGCAUGGGGAGCGAACAGG
rnacentral:rRNA from 1 species